AGCUUAAUGAUACAGCCACUUUGGAAAUCAGCACCCCAGUUUGGCAGUUUCUUGAAUAAACAUCCAACUGCCUUCUGGCCCAUCAGAUCUACUCCUAGGUAUUUCCCCAGGAGAAGUGAAAACACAUCUACACCAAGACUUGUACCUGAAUGCUUCUAGCAGCAUUAUUUAUAAUAGCCAAAAGAACGGAAACCACAAAAUAUCCAUCGACUGGUGAAGGGAUAAAUGAUGGGAGGUACACCCAUACUGUGGGCUAGGACUCAACCAUAAAAAGGAAGGGGUCAUGGACACGGGCAAGAACAGGGAUGAAAGUCAAAGACAACAUGCUAAGUGAAAGAGAGCAGACACAAAAGACUACCUACAGUAUAACUGCUUUUAUGUGAAAUUCUAGAAGAGGCGAAAGUCUAACAACGGAAAGCUCAUCAGCGGUUGCCUUGGGGUGGGCACAGGGAAUGAAGAGGGGCAUGAGGGAAUUUGAGGGGGGUAAAGGAAGUAUUCUAAAUCUUGAUUAUGGUGGUGGUUUCAAAACUGUAGAUGUUCCUAAAACUCAUUGAACUGCAGUUAAAAUGAGUGAAUUUUAGUAAAUAAGAAUUAUAUGUCAUGAAGCUGAAAAAAGGAGGGGGAUAGAGAAGAGAAGGGAUGUGUAAAUGGACUGGACUAGUCUCUCAGUUAACAAGCAUCAUCUGGUCAGAUUUUACAUCGGGUUCAAUCUCUUAAGGGUGUUACUGAAUCCUGGAUAUGCACAAACAUAUAGUAAAUACAUCAGAUGAUGAGGUUAAUUCAGAACACUGAACUGAUCUCAUGUCACAGUUCUACCAGAAACUCUGUGCUUUGAAGCCUAAUGCAAGGCCUUCUUAGGAGGUGCACCCAGGUCCUUAGGAAGCUUGGGUUACCUACAAUUUCUCCUUAUUAAAAAGGUAUACUAAUUAAGCCUUUAUUUCUUGAGCUCAGUGAACUGUUAAGCUCGUUGCUAAUCAUAUGCUUACUGAAUUCUGACAAUACCACUCUGAGGCAGGUACAAUCCAUAGAGGAGGGACCCGAACUGCUUCAGCAGGUAACAGAUUGGAUUGAAACCAAGGACUGUCAAUUAUAGUCAGAAAAUUUAGAAAAUAGUGGUAUAACAGGUAUAUUUCCUUCUGGGCAUCUAUAUAAUACAUAAUGCAUAGUACAUAAUAUAUAAUAGAUAAUAUAUAUAUAUUCUUUAAAAAAACUAUUUAUUACAAAUACAAAACAUGCUUAUUGGAGAAAGAUAGAAAGCACAUAAGCAGAGAGGGCUACAUGGAGAUAAAGACAACGAGGCUGCUCAUUAAGCCCAAACCGGAAGAUUAUCAUGGCCCUACUCUGGUGUCCAGCCUCAAUGGAUUGAUCGCAGAAGUAUUUGCUGAGAACCUGGUGUACAGAUGAGAUGACGAUAUCAGGCAAAAGCAGACACGGUUUCUACCUUUGCAAAUUUUAUGGUCCUUCUCGAUGUUUUUUCUGCUUAUCCUCAUAAAAAGUACAUGGUUUUGUAAAUUUGGAAUCAUCUUACACAGAUUGUUUUGUAAUCUUUUUUUAUGUAGUAACGCGAAGCUUUUG